rnacentral:rRNA from 1 species
AGUGAACGCUGGCGGCAGGCCUAACACAUGCAAGUCGAGCGGAAGCAGGGAGCUUGCUCCUGGAUUCAGCGGCGGACGGGCGAGUAAUGCCUAGGAAUAUCCCUGGCAGUGGGGGCUAACGUCCGGACACGGGCGCUAAUACCGUAUAAGCCCAGAGGGCGAACGUGGGGGAUCUUCGGACCUCACGCUAUCGCAUGAGCCUAUGACGGAUUAGCUAGUUGGCGGGGUAAAGGCCUACCAAGGCGACGAUCCGAAACUGGUCUGAGAGGAUGAGCAGGCACACUGGAACUGAGACACGGUCCAGACUCCUACGGGAGGCAGCAGUGGGGAAUAGUGGACAAUGGGCGAAAGCCUGAUCCAGCCAUGCCGCGUGUGUGAAGAAGGUCUUCGGAUUGUAAAGCACUUUAAGUGGGGAGGAAGGGCAGUAAGUUAAUACCUUGCUGUUUUGACGUUACCAACAGAAUAAGCACCGGCUAACUUCGUG